rnacentral:rRNA from 1 species
UACGUAGGGGGCGAGCGUUGUCCGGAUUUACUGGGUGUAAAGGGUGCUCAGGCGGGUCUGUAAGUCAGGGGUGAAAUCCCAGAGCUUAACUCUGGAACUGCCUUUGAUCCUGCAGAUCUCGAGUUUGGGAGAGGCGAGUGGAAUAUCUGGUGUAGCAGUGAAAUGCGUAGAUAUCAGAUAGAACACCAAUGGCGAAGACAGCUCGCUGGCCCAAUACUGACGCUAAAGCACGAAAGCGUGGGGAGCAAACAGG